CAUGGUUUGAAUAAAUAUGACUUGUAUGAGCUAAGUUUUCAAGUUACAUGCAUCCACCUGAAACACUAGACCUGAAGUUUUUGCAGAGACUCCAAAUUACAUUUAAUCUCUGUUCUUUUAUGCAUCCUUCAGCUAAAUCAGAAAUCUAAAUAUGUGAUCUAGCAGAGAAAGCAUGAAAUUUUGCAACACUUCCUGAGGAGUUGGGAUCUAUAAAUUAAUAAAUGGCUUGCACUCAACCAUGUGCUAUAUAUAGGUUUUCCAUUCAUGACAGAUAUAAUAUUGAUAGUAUCAUUCAUUAACAUUUAAUAAUAACCUUUAUUUAAUAACUAAUCCAAGUAUAAUUUAAUACAGUAUAAAUUUAAAAUAUUCGUCAUCUUGCUUUGCUGUUUCAGAAAACCAUAAAAGAACAAAACAGAGCAGAAAUUGCUACCAAAAAUAUAUUGUAAUGCCUAUUAGUUAGAUUAUGGAGAGACAAUGAGUUUACCAUGAAACCGGGUUCAAUCCUCCAAACAUUCACUAUACGAUUUACUACUCAAAAUUGUUCCAUUCCAGAUAAUAAGAGAAAUCAGUAAGGUUUUAAAAUGUGUAACUGCAAAAUUGGCUAAAAGUGUCUAUUUGUGUCUCUCUUCGUACUGUACUUCAUACUAAGCACAAGUCAAAAAUUUACCUUUCAGAUUUAAGUCGUCAGAAUGGGCCCUUAAAUUUAGUUCACCGUGGACUUCUCUAUAUAAAAUGAAAAAAAUUGGGUUUCACUAUUAAGUUCUAUCAAAGAUUUUCUCCCAGAAUAAGCAGUUUAGACUAUUAGCACCCAUUGUGUCUAGUAAUAUAUCCUCUCAUUGUAAUGGGGAGGGGGCACAUUAAAGCUGUCCCAAGAAUGGCCCGACAAUAGGCACAGGAUUUUGGAUACACCACUGAGGAAAACUAGUCCUGGUAAUGUGAGACUUCUGCAUAUUUCAGAGGUCAUCUCUUGGCCACAGCAAAGUUCCCACUUUCAUCCAAUACCUCUAAUUAAGCUAGACUUAAGGCAACAUUCUACAACACAGGGAAGCUAAUAUGGAAUUACCAGUUAAUUGUGUCCACACCACUCUUUUACCAGGAAUUGUUAGCCCCUGUCCUGACAUCAUUUUAUUUUAAAGUUUUCACAUUUGCCAUGGUUUAUAAUUUUGGUAGCAGAAAAGUAUCAUUCUAUAGGGCAAAUCUUGGUGUAAGAAAAAAAGGCUAAUUAAAUACCAGCACCAAACACUGGAUUUCAGAAGCUGGAAGAAAAAAAUAAAUAAAUAUGACCCCUUUUACAAGUUUCUAUUUGUUCUGUCUUAUAAAGUCUAACCUUAAGGUACAUGAAUAUACGUAUAGUAUCAGGAUGGGUCUCUUGGUACAAGUGAAUACUUGCCACCUUUAAAACAGCUAAUUAUUAGGGUGCGUGGGUACUGAAAUAUUUAUUUUUCUGAGUAACUAUUGGAGACUGUCAGUUCAGAUGCUUCCUACCCAAAGAUAAUACCUGGAUUUGGCUAGAUUUUCAGAUAGAAAACAAGGUAGGAGUGGCAAAGAGCAAUGCUCUUUUCUUUAAAAACAGCCUUUUCAUCUUUCUUGCUCAACAGUUGCACAAGAACAAAACUUCAAAGAAAUCUAAGAGGAGGAGGAAAGUCCAGCAAAAAACCCACUCACUUACCCAAUUAUUUUUUUUAACUUGGAACUAGAAGUAUGAAAGUAAGCCAGUGAUGCAUUGGUUUCUUACUGGAAUAGAGGAACCCUGAUGUAAGAAUGUCUAUUCUUUGAACAGUAUCAAUCCGUGUAGACUUCUGAAAUAUCCCCAGGGACCUACCCUGCUGUCACAGGUUCUCAGAAGUCCUCUAUUACAUUUCUGCAAGCCUUGCUAUUGGGAACACAGAUGAAAAAAUAUAACUUAUUCCAAAACACCAGUAAGCCUGUGAUAUAGAGAAGUCUAUAUUUUAAGAAAAGAAAAGAGAUGAGAGUCAGUAUUUCUUUUCCAAGAUCACUGAUUGCAUUGUGUACUUUAUAUGCUGUAAAAGAAUUACAUAAAAUAAGGAGUAUGUGGGAAAUGCCUGACUUGGGACAGAAAUUGCAAGGUAGCAGGAACCCUGUUAAGAAAAGGAUCUUUGCAUUUCUUGGGAAAGACAUUGUGACACAGACUGCUAUUUGCAACUCCCUGUAGGCUACACCCAAUUCACACACUUGCCCUGCCUGACUUUGUAAGAUUACAGUAACAAAAAUGAGAUCAACCUGAUAAUGCUAAUGAGCUGGAUUCAAAGAGUAAUGAAAUCAGUGGAGAGGCACCCACUGGUUUCAAUUGGUGUUGGGGCAGGGCUAAUUAAUGCACUGCUGAUUAAAAAUACAUUGAUAUGUUUUGCAGAUAUUGGAUUAAACUCUGGCCAGAACAUUCCUACAAAGUAGAGAACAGAAAAAUAUCUUGGAUAAAAUCCUAAACAACUCCACUUUGUCUCCAGGAGAAAUGUAUUAUCUACAUAAAGGUCACCUGUUUCUUCAGCUGAUUUAAAUCAGGCUAGUUCAUCUAUUUUAGUGGAACCUUGUGCCUUAUAACAGCUGAUGAGCUGGCAUGUCAACAAAAUUAUAGCAAAUAUCAAAAGGGUUUUGUUACUUAUGCAAGUACCAGGCUUCAAAAUGCUCCCGAGACCAGCUAGAUCAAUAGGGGGCAUGUACAGACGUCAGACUUAGACCAGUCUAAGUGAACAUAUAUCAAUCAAAACCCAUAACUGUACAGAAGUUUGAUGCACAUAGACCACAUGCGAGCUGUCAAAUGCAGACGUUUCUCCAUCCCCAGUUCCCACUCAACAUGCUUUCGAUGAUGACACACGCUCUGCUGAGCCCAGUUGGGGACUGAAAGUUCCCAGCAUGAGACAAAUAAACAGCUCUUCUCACCCUGCCCCCCCCCCC